UGCACGUCGAACGGUAACGAUACCAGCUUGCUGGUAGUCGACGAGUGGCGAACGGGUGAGUAACGCGUAGGAAUCUGCCCAGUAGCGGGGGAUAACUCCGGGAAACCGGAGCUAAUACCGCAUACGCCCCAAGGGGGAAAGAUGGGGAUCAUCGGACCUGUCACUAUUGGAUGAGCCUGCGUCGGAUUAGCUUGUUGGUGGGGUAAUGGCCUACCAAGGCGACGAUCCGUAACUGGUCUGAGAGGAUGAUCAGUCACACUGGGACUGAGACACGGCCCACACUCCUACGGGAGGCAGCAGUGGGGAAUAUUGGACAAUGGGCGCAAGCCUGAUCCAGCAAUGCCGCGUGUGUGAAGAAGGCUUUCGGGUUGUAAAGCACUUUCAAUUGGGAAGAAACCCCCGGAGUUAACAGCUUCGGGUCUUGACGGUACCAAUACAAGAAGCACCGGCUAACUCCGUGCCAGCAGCCGCGGUAAUACGGAGGGUGCAAGCGUUAAUCGGAAUUACUGGGCGUAAAGCGCACGCAGGCGGUUUGUUAAGUCAGAUGUGAAAUCCCCGGGCUCAACCUGGGAACUGCAUUUGAUACUGGCAGACUAGAGUAUGGGAGAGAGAAGUGGAAUUCCACAUGUAGCGGUGAAAUGCGUAGAGAUGUGGAGGAACACCAGUGGCGAAGGCGGCUUCUUGGCCCAAUACUGACGCUCAGGUGCGAAAGCGUGGGGAGCAAACAGGAUUAUAUACCCUGGUAGUCCACGCCGUAAACGAUGUCUACUAGCCGUUG
rnacentral:rRNA from 1 species